GAAUAUUGGACAAUGGGCGAAAGCCUGAUCCAGCAAUACCGCGUGAGUGAUGAAGGCCCUAGGGUUGUAAAGCUCUUUCAGUAGGGAAGAUAAUGACGGUACCUACAGAAGAAGCACCGGCUAACUCCGUGCCAGCAGCCGCGGUAAUACGGAGGGUGCUAGCGUUGUUCGGAAUUACUGGGCGUAAAGAGUGCGUAGGCGGCUUGGUAAGUUGGAAGUGAAAUCCCGGGGCUCAACCUCGGAAUUGCUUUCAAAACUAUCAAGCUAGAGUAUGGUAGGGGAUAGUGGAAUUCUUAGUGUAGGGGUGAAAUCCGUAGAUAUUAAGAGGAACACCAGAGGCGAAGGCGACUAUCUGGGCCAUUACUGACGCUAAGGCACGAAAGCGUGGGGAGCAAACGGG
rnacentral:rRNA from 1 species